rnacentral:rRNA from 1 species
AGAGUUUGAUCAUGGCUCAGGACGAACGCUGGCGGCGUGCCUAAUACAUGCAAGUCGAACGGUCUUUUCUAUGGAAGCUUGCUUCCACUGAGAAGAUAGUGGCGAACGGGUGAGUAACACGUGGGUAACCUGCCCAUAAGAGGGGGAUAACAUCCGGAAACGGGUGCUAAUACCGCAUAGUUUUCUUGAUCGCAUGAUCGGGAAAGGAAAGACGGCCUUUGUGCUGUCGCUUAUGGAUGGACCCGCGGCGUAUUAGUUAGUUGGUGAGGUAACGGCUCACCAAGACGAUGAUACGUAGCCGACCUGAGAGGGUGAUCGGCCACAUUGGGACUGAGACACGGCACAAACUCCUACGGGAGGCAGCAGUAGGGAAUCUUCCGCAAUGGACGAAAGUCUGACGGAGCAACGCCGCGUGAGUGAAGAAGGUUUUCGGAUCGUAAAACUCUGUUGUCAGAGAAGAACAAGUUGGAGAGUAACUGCUCCAGCCUUGACGGUAUCUGACCAGAAAGCCACGGCUAACUACGUGCCAGCAGCCGCCGUAAUACGUAGGUGGCAAGCGUUGUCCGGAUUUAUUGGGCGUAAAGCGAGCGCAGGCGGUUCCUUAAGUCUGAUGUGAAAGCCCACGGCUCAACCGUGGAAGGUCAUUGGAAACUGGGGAACUUGAGUGCAGAAGAGGAGAGUGGAAUUCCAUGUGUAGCGGUGAAAUGCGUAGAUAUAUGGAGGAACACCAGUGGCGAAGGCGACUCUCUGGUCUGUAACUGACGCUGAGGCUCGAAAGCGUGGGGAUCAAACAGGAUUAGAUACCCUGGUAGUCC